rnacentral:rRNA from 1 species
GAUGAACGCUGGCGGCGUGCCUAAUACAUGCAAGUCGAGCGAACAGAUGAGGAGCUUGCUCCUCUGACGUUAGCGGCGGACGGGUGAGUAACACGUGGAUAACCUACCUAUAAGACUGGGAUAACUUCGGGAAACCGGAGCUAAUACCGGAUAAUAUAUUGAACCGCAUGGUUCAAUAGUGAAAGACGGUUUUGCUGUCACUUAUAGAUGGAUCCGCGCCGCAUUAGCUAGUUGGUAAGGUAACGGCUUACCAAGGCAACGAUGCGUAGCCGACCUGAGAGGGUGAUCGGCCACACUGGAAGAGAGACACGGUACAGACUCCUACGGGAGGCAGGAGUAGAAAAUCUGCCGCAGUGGGCGAAAGCCUGACGGAGCAACGCCGCGUGAGUGAUGAAGGUCUGCGGAUCGUAAAACUCUGUUAUUGGGGAAGAACAAAUGUGUAAGUAACUAUGCACGUCGUGACGAUACAUAGUCAGAAAGCCACGUCUAACUGCG